CUCACAGUGAGGUGUAUCCUUACCUGUUCCUCCUCUGGGAGAACAGCACAUGAUGAAUGGAGACCUGAUUAGGGUCUCCACUGGUCGGGACAAAUGUGAA
rnacentral:snoRNA from 1 species